AGAGUUUGAUCCUGGCUCAGAGCGAACGCUGGCGGCGUGCUUAACACAUGCAAGUCGAGUGCGCGGUUGUAGCAAUACAACUGGCGCACGGCGCACGGGUGCGUAACACGUGGGCAAUCUGCCCUUCGAUGGGGAAUAACUCCGGGAAACCGAAGCUAAUUCCGCAUAACAUUCCUUGGACUACGGUCUGGGGACUCAAAGGCGUAAGUCGUCGGAGGAGGAGCCCGCGCACGAUUAGCUAGUUGGCAGGGUAACGGCCUACCAAGGCUUUGAUCGUUAGCUGGUCUGAGAAGAUGGCCAGCCACACUGGAACUGAGACACGGUCCAGACUCCUACGGGAGGCAGCAGUGGGGAAUCUUGCACAAUGGGCGAAAGCCUGAUGCAGCGACGCCGCGUGGGGGAUGAAGCUUCUCGGAGUGUAAACCCCUUUCGACCCGGACGAAUGCCCCGCAAGGGGACUGACGGUACGGGUAUAAGAAGCCCCGGCUAACUACGUGCCAGCAGCCGCGGUAAGACGUAGGGGGCCAGCGUUGCUCGGAAUUACUGGGUGUAAAGGGUUCGUAGGCGGUGUGGCAAGUCGGGAGUGAAAUCUCUGGGCUUAACUCAGAGACUGCUUCCGAAACUGCUGUGCUUGGGUGUGGGAGAGGCGCGUGGAAUUGCAGGUGUAGCGGUGAAAUGCGUAGAUAUCUGCAGGAACACCCGUGGCGAAAGCGGCGCGCUGGACCACUACUGACGCUGAGGAACGAAAGCUAGGGGAGCAAACAGGAUUAGAUACCCUGGUAGUCCUAGCCCUAAACGAUCAGGACUUGGGGUGCCACCCGUUCGGGUGUCGUCCCGGAGCUAACGCGUUAAGUCCUGCACCUGGGGAGUACGGUCGCAAGACUGAAACUCAAAGGAAUUGACGGGGGCCCGCACAAGCGGUGGAACAUGUGGUUCAAUUCGACGCUACGCGAGGAACCUUACCUGGGCUCGAAAUGCUUCUGA
rnacentral:rRNA from 1 species